GCUCUCACCAGUAGUUUAACCUAAAAAAGGCCUCUAAAGUUUGAAUACGACGACUGCGUAACAUCAAGACCCAUCCCUUUCAGGGUCAACCGCAUUCAAUGUCCCCUUCGUAAAUGUAAAUCUGCCAUGCAACACCUACCAAAGCUUAUACACCCAAAUUUUCCCAAUGUAUUUUAUUUCCAUGAAUUGUCGGCUUCUGCUAUUGAAGAGCAAAGCCGAUGACAUUUGGUUUUACUUAAAAACUCAUUUAGCAGUCUCUUUUUUCUCUUAUACCAUUUCGGAAAAUGCAUUCUAAUCUUUGCAGUUCUCUCUUAUAAGGGCAAGAAAAAAGACGGGCCCCAUGUCCAAACUGGUCAUCAUUUCCGAAUGCGCAUGCUUUCGGAGGUACAGAAACACUGGGUAAUGGUAUCAUCCAUUGGAAGCGACAACAUGGGAAAAAAUUUUCAUGACAUGGUCGCUCAGACACUGUAAAGAGAGAGCUCUCGAGAAAAGGUCGAAAAAACUUUCAGGCAGGCUUUUCAUUAGCUUUUGGGGGGAAUAAACGUCAGUCGUGGAAGGAAUAAAACCCUAAAAAGAUGCAGACAGUGAGUGAUCACGAGGACCCAUGUGGGUUUUUCCUCACUGUUUUCUCUGAUUUUGUAUUUUUCCAGCCUAGACAAUUUCUUUUUCUCUUAUCAAUGUCAUUUACCCCGCUUUUGUUUAUAUGUGGACACGAGUGGUUCUUGCUUUCCCUGAUGGAGAAAACAAGAUCGAAUUUUUAUA